rnacentral:rRNA from 1 species
UACGUAGGGGGCAAGCGUUAUCCGGAUUUACUGGGUGUAAAGGGAGCGUAGACGGAAUUGCAAGUCUGAUGUGAAAAUCCGGGGCCCAACCCCGGAACUGCAUUGGAAACUGUAUUUCUAGAGUGUCGGAGAGGCAAGUGGAAUUCCUGGUGUAGCGGUGAAAUGCGUAGAUAUCAGGAGGAACAUCGGUGGCGUAAGCGCUUUACUGGGCCGUAAUUGACGCUGAGGAACGAAAGCCAGGGUAGCAAAUGGG